rnacentral:rRNA from 1 species
CAGCCGCCACGGGAAUACAGAGGAUGCAAGCGUUAUCCGGAAUUAUUGGGCGUAAAGGGUUCGCAGGCGGUUUCUUAAGUCUGAUGUGAAAGCCCCCGGCUCAACCGGGGAGGGUCAUUGGAAACUGGGAAACUUGAGUGCAGAAGAGGAGAGUGGAAUUCCACGUGUAGCGGUGAAAUGCGUAGAGAUGUGGAGGAACACCAGUGGCGAAGGCGACUCUCUGGUCUGUAACUGACGCUGAGGAGCGAAAGCGUGGGGAGCGAACAGGAUUAGAUACCCGAGUAGUCCCUGUCUCUUAUAA